rnacentral:lncRNA from 1 species
AUCACCAACAUCCGCCGGAAAUCUCCACACAACGACCCUCCAUUUCAACUUUCGGCGACCCCUCAAAAAAACAACUUUCGACGUCGCCUCUAACUUUGACGCCAUCCACCUCCACUACCACUACGUCACCGCAUCAUCGCUCCACCCUCCGUUACACUUUCAAACAACAUCUUCCGCCACAGUAAUCUUCAUCGCUGUCGAAACCCACAUCAACAUCACCGGCGAAUCCAAACCACCUCCACCGUUCUUCUUCUUUCGACAUCGAAUCCAAAGUCAACUUCGCCGUCACAACACUACAACCGACCUUCACGCGACAACCUCCGGUGAAAGCUUUCCGUCCGCCAUAACCCACUUCUUCACAUUUUCACAAAGCACGGUUUUCCUUCACCACUUUUACUCACAGCCGAGCUUGCCGCCAUCUAAAACCCUAUCCUCUAGAAAUUCUGCACAACGGUGAACUGAAAUCACACCGUCGACCCAACUCUGUUUGGCGAUUUCGAAUCCUCAUGAUACCCUGUGUGGAUGUUGUCCGUUUUUGUGCAGGUUGGAGUAUGAUUACUCUGUAUGCGAAUGGAGUAAUACGAAGCAACGCCGGAGCCGCAAUAGCUUGAAGAUGUGGAAAGGGUCGAUGUUUAGCGAUCGAUGUGCUCAAAGAAAGUCACAAAUUAUACUAUGACAAUGCUGCAGAAGCUCAAUGGCGACAUCGACAAGCGUAUCAGCAACGUAAUUUGCAUUUUGGUAACGAUUUUAAUUUUCUUCGAACGUAUUUAUUAUGGUGUUUCAAUCUGAUUUAAUCAUAUGGUUGUUUCUGUCAAGCAAUUACAAACUUCACUGUCGUAUGCUGUAUUUUGGUUAUCGAAAGUUUGUUCGUCUUCGACCCGGCGCAGUUGUUGUGUAUUGGUUGUGGUGUUGUUUUUGUUGAUUGCUUCAGUGCAAUAAUUCACUUAGCAACGUGUGUGUGUGUUGUGGUGUCAUUGUGUCGAUUACAUUGACGUCCCAAUUACAAUUUUUGGUUAGAACACAGGUUAUUAAAACUAGUUUAAUGCUUGUUGUGCUUUUUUUUUAUGAUGAGUUUUUGCAUAUAAAUGCCUUCGAUUCAGUGCUUAAUGCAUACCUAUGUA